GGGCAGUAAAUACCACCAGCGUUGUACAGGAGAAGAGGAGGGAGGCACUUCACGGGAACAGCCACAGGAACAGCCACAGGAACAGCAACAAGUACCCCGGCACAUCGACUCUGUACCCCGGCACAUCGACUCUGUACCCCGGCACAUCGACUCGGUACCCCUGCACAUCGACUCCCCUGGCACAUCGACUCGGUACCCCUGCACAUCGACUCGGUACCCCGGCACAUCGACUCUGUACCCCGGCACAUCGACUCAGUACCCCGGCACAUCGACUCGGUACCCCGGCACAUCGACUCGGUACCCCUGCACAUCGACUCAGUACCCCUGCACAUCGACUCGGUACCCCUGCACAUCGACUCUGUACCCCUGCACAUUGACUCUGUACCCCGGCACAUCGACUCUGUACCCCGGCACAUUGACUCUGUACCCCGGCACAUUGACUCAGUACCCCGGCACAUUGACUCAGUACCCCGGCAGAUUGACUCAGUACCCCGGCACAUUGACUCGGUAACCCUGUACAUUGACUCAGUACCCUGGCACAUUGACUCAGUACCCCGGCACAUUGACUCAGUACCCCGGCACAUUGACUCAGUACCCCGGCACAUCGACUCUGUACCCCGGCACAUUGACUCUGUACCCCGGCACAUUGACUCGGUAACCCUGUACAUUGACUCAGUACCCCGGCACAUUGACUCAGAACCCCGGCACAUUGACUCAGAACCCCGGCACAUUGACUCAUUACCCCGGCACAUUGACUCAGAACCCCGGCACAUUGACUCAGUACCCC
rnacentral:lncRNA from 1 species